GUCAUUUCUGGAACUGAAAAACCAGCUGGUAGGGUCGGGUCUGCACAUAUCUUUUGUCUUUUUUAACGUUUGCUUUCCACUCUUCUUACUACUCUUCUUAUAACCCGCGUGCGAUAUCAUUCCCUUCAUCAUCUCCUCAUGAUCACCAAAAUCUCUCUCUCUCUCUCUCUCUCUCUCCCCUCUCCCUCUCGCUCUCAACCCCCUUGAAGAUAGGCGAGACUCUUGGGGGAUAAAGAGAUAAGAAACGAGCCCAAGAAAUACACACGCCCACGCACUAAAUUCAUCUCUCUUUCUCUGGAAUGAAUUCGAAGGAAGCUUCUCUUUUGAGGGGAAUGUUGUCUGGCUCGAGGACUCUCUUUUGAUCCAUUUUUUCUCAAAUUAUAUAUAUCCAUAGAUCUGAUCUAGGGCAUAUAUGGAUGUAGAAAGUAGAUUGAUCAUCAGCUAGUGUCGUCGGACCAGGCUUCAUUCCCCCCAAUUAAUGCUUCCAUCCUGAUUUUUCAAGGCCUGCACGUAAAGGCGAAUCAAGAUUGUUAGACCUUUGCAGAUUGGUGUAAUGAUGAAGUGUUUGACCAUCCACUUUGAAUAAAAGUUUCAUCAUUAUCCUCUUUUUAUUUUUCUUUUUCCUGUUGUUGCGAUGAUGGUGUUUUUUGUCAGCCUUUUUCUAGUUCUUCAUUAUGCAGAUUUCUCUCAUGAUGGCUUCCAGUAUCUGAUCUGUUCGUUUCUGGUACCUUCAGAUCUGGCUUUCAACUGUGGUAAAAGUUCUAUGCUUCUCCUCCUCCUCCUUCUUUUAAUGCUGCUCUUUCAUGCUCUAAUCUCAAAAUAAAUCUUUUAGAAAAGGCAUAACCUGGGGGAAGAUGUACUAGCAGGAAAGCGAUUCCCUUCCCGUUCUCUAUUUCUGUCAUUAUUUGAAAAGUCGCUUGAUUUUGUAGAUUUUAUUAGUGUAGAAGUAUACAUAAAUACUUUAUAUCUUUUUUUAUAUAUAUAUAGAAACAUUUUUAGUAGAUGCCACUGUGGUGCUUGGCGCUUGGUAUACAUGUAAUAUAUAUGAAAAGUUUUGUGAUGCUUCUAUCAUUUGUUUAUCUGCUUCUGCUCUAAGCAAGUACUUCUGUUUUUCUCUAUAGACCAAGUUGAAUAGUUGAACAUUAUAGGAUCAUUUGAUUUGCAUGCCAUUAAUAUUGGUGAUGGACCUCCAUUAUUAAGGACAUUGGUUUUGUCCUAUUGAUUUACUCUUUUCUUUCUUUGAGUUGGGUAUUAGACCAUUGUGUUUAUACAUGUGAGGACAACGACGUCUGCGUCUCAUUAAGGGAACCCCACAAGUCUUGGCUUUGUUAUCUCCUUGUUUAAACCCUAAUUCAUUCCAAAGAUGAUUUGUUUGUAAUAAAUUUGGAAACUUAAAUUCUAGAUUGGUUUCAGAACUUCCACUUUUGUCUCUUCAUUUGAGUUGGUAUUAUUAGUAUGAGAAUCAUUUUGAUAAAUAUGGGCACUAAUGAAAUUCACUUGAACAGCCAGCCAAAUGUUGUCCACUUGAUAUUGUGAGUUGAAACAGCAGGUUUCUAUGUGAAGUGUCCAUGCUCAUCAAUGGAUUGAUUGAUAAUGAUGGGUGAAAUGGAACGUUUGAUUGAUUUACAGAGAAAACAUUGUGCAACUAAAGCACAUGCUUAAGCAGUGAGGUUUUUUCUACUUUUGUGCUUUCUCGUUGUACAUUUGAGAGGGUUAGUGAUAAACCCAUUGGAUCAACAAGUGUUUUCAGUAGUGGUUGGUGAUUAAUAUACUAUCUGCACUUCUGAAAUUUUUUUAUGGGAAUUGAAAGGGAAAACAUAUAUCCCGAAUGAAUGUAAUGAGAGCAGUAGUUGAUUUGAAAGAUGGGCAAAAUAGUGGUCUAGUUUCCAUGCUCUCUAGGGCAUAGGCGACACAUCUUCUUGCCCCCAACCUCCCUUCCUUCUUCUUGCUCUUCCUCACACACAGAUUUCCACAGUGCAUCUGUGUGACAAGGAAAGGAAUAGCAUUGAAUAUAGGUUUCUGUGUAUUCCUUCCCAUCCUGUUCAUAUAUGGAAAGCAGGUUUGGAAUCUAGGAAGCAUCUGUCAUUUUUAUAAUUUCAUUUCUAAUGCACCUUCACAUUAUUCAGAACAAUGUUGAUGCUAUAUUAAUUAAAAGGGUAAGGUUGUUUUAGCUUUUA